rnacentral:rRNA from 1 species
UACGGAGGAUGCAAGCGUUAUCCGGAUUUAUUGGGUUUAAAGGGUGCGCAGGUGGUUAAAUAAGUCAGUGGUGAAAGUCUGCCGCUUAACGGUAGGAUUGCCAUUGAUACUGUUUAACUUGAGUUUGGAUGAGGUAGGUGGAAUGAGUAGUGUAGCGGUGAAAUGCAUAGAUAUUACACAGAACACCGAUUGCGAAGGCAGCUUACUAAUCCAUCAUUGACGCUGAGGCACGAAAGCGUGGGGAUCAAACAGGAUUAGA